rnacentral:lncRNA from 1 species
UUCCUGGGACAUUUUCAGAUCUCCUUCCAGCUUCCUCUUCGCCCUUUCCAAGUCCGCCCGCAGUUUCUUCUCCUGCUCUAAGGAACCCUCAAGCUGAGAAGACACACAGAAGACCCAGAAGUCCAGCUUUGAAGAAAACCUGGAGAAAGAGAGAGUCACAAAUCAUCUCCAUACUGCAGGAGAUGCAGAAAUGGCGGAAGCUUGUUGACCUGGGACUCAGCAAUGUCAGCCCGUUCCUCGGCCUCCUCCAGCUCAUGCUGGAUCCUGCGGAAUUUGGAGAGGUUGACGUUGGAUUGUUCCUCCUGUGAAUGGAAAUCCAUUUAUGAGAGAAGAAAGUUCAGAAUUUUUCCAUUCUUAGGGCAGCACAAGCAGCAUUUGUCCUCUCAACAUCAAUCAUGAGGUCCUCAACUUCAUUCUGGAGCCUCUGCUUCGUCUUCUCAAGGGAAGCACAUUUGGCAUUCACAGCUUCUACAUGUUCCUCAGCAUCCUGCAGACGCUGAGCCAGCUUCUUCCUAAAAAGUGAAAUAUGGGCAAUAAAAGUGAAUGGCUGUCAACUGAAUUGGGUGUUUCAAAGUGGGUACAAGAGAGUGAAUUCCACAAUCAGACUUCUUUAAUACUUUGCUUCUCAAGCUUGCUUUGUAGGUCCAGUUCUAUAUUAACUCAUUCCCAUUAUCCUACCACCAAAUACCAAAAACAACCCCAGUUUUGGUAUUGCCAUACUUCAUAGAGUGGCUUUAAGGCCAUCCAUGACAAGCAUGAGCUAACACUUUACCCUUCCAGGUAGCUGGCUUAUUCCUCUUCCAUAGAAUAUUAAUAUCUACCUUGAAUUACUGGUUUGUUUUUC